rnacentral:miRNA from 1 species
CGGCUGGGCUGGGCUGGGCUGGGCUGGGCUGGGCUGAGCUGUCACGGCUGC